rnacentral:rRNA from 1 species
CCGCGGUAAUACAGAGGGUGCAAGCGUUGCUCGGAUUUACUGGGCGUAAAGCGUACGCAGACGGUGAGAAAGGUCGAAUGUGAAAGCCCCGGGCUCAACCCGGGAAUUGCACUCGAAACUAUUUCGCUAGAGUAUGAGAGAGGGAAGCAGAAUUCCUGGUGUAGAGGUGAAAUUCGUAGAUAUCAGGAGGAAUACCUGCGGCGAAGGCGGCUUCCUGGCUCAUUACUGACGUUCAGGUACGAAAGCGUGGGUAGCAAACAGG